CGAGCGGAAACGAUGAUAGCUUGCUAUCAGGCGUCGAGCGGCGGACGGGUGAGUAAUACUUAGGAAUCUACCUAGUAGUGGGGGAUAGCUCGGGGAAACUCGAAUUAAUACCGCAUACGUCCUACGGGAGAAAGCAGGGGAUCAUUAGACCUUGCGCUAUUAGAUGAGCCUAAGUCGGAUUAGCUAGAUGGUGGGGUAAAAGGCCUACCAUGGCGACGAUCUGUAGCUGGUCUGAGAGGAUGAUCAGCCACACCGGGACUGAGACACGGCCCGGACUCCUACGGGAGGCAGCAGUGGGGAAUAUUGGACAAUGGGGGCAACCCUGAUCCAGCCAUGCCGCGUGUGUGAAGAAGGCCUUUUGGUUGUAAAGCACUUUAAGCAGUGAAGAAGACUUUUCGGUUAAUACCCGGGAACGAUGACAUUAGCUGCAGAAUAAGCACCGGCUAACUCUGUGCCAGCAGCCGCGGUAAUACAGAGGGUGCAAGCGUUAAUCGGAAUUACUGGGCGUAAAGCGAGCGUAGGUGGCUUGAUAAGUCAGAUGUGAAAUCCCCGGGCUUAACCUGGGAACUGCAUCUGAAACUGUUAGGCUAGAGUAGGUGAGAGGGAAGUAGAAUUUCAGGUGUAGCGGUGAAAUGCGUAGAGAUCUGAAGGAAUACCGAUGGCGAAGGCAGCUUCCUGGCAUCAUACUUAC
rnacentral:rRNA from 1 species